rnacentral:rRNA from 1 species
AGCGAACGCUGGCGGCGCGCCUAAUACAUGCAAGUCGAGCGAGAAGACGUAGCAAUACGUUUGUAAAGCGGCGAACGGGUGAGGAAUACAUGGGUAACCUACCCUCGAGUGGGGAAUAACUAGCCGAAAGGUUAGCUAAUACCGCGUACGCUCCUUGGACUCCGGUUCAGGGAGGAAAGCGAUACCGUGGGUAUCGCGCUCUUGGAUGGGCUCAUGUCCUAUCAGCUUGNGGUGAGGUAACGGCUCACCAAGGCUUCGACGGGUAGCUGGUCUGAGAGGACGAUCAGCCACACUGGCACUGCGACACGGGCCAGACUCCUACGGGAGGCAGCAGUAAGGAAUAUUGCGCAAUGGGCGAAAGCCUGACGCAGCGACGCCGCGUGGGGGGA